rnacentral:lncRNA from 1 species
GCAUGCUUUAUUAAUUUUAAUGAGAGUACUGGCAGGUGGAACUGCAUGACAUUUCGUUUGCUUUGGAUUUCAAAUAUGUACCUGAAAUGUUUACACUAUAACUUAAAGUAAUUUAAAUCAAUGACAUUCUAAUACAAUCUGCGAUCUCUUUAGGCUUUCCUCAAUUCGCCUUAGCACUAUACGAAAUAAAACAUGUACAUAGUGAUUCGUGAGUUCUAUCAAAUUACUGAUGUGG